UACGUAGGUGGCAAGCGUUGUCCGGAUUUACUGGGCGUAAAGAGCGCGCAGGCGGUCGUUCAAGUCGCGUGUGAAAGCCCCCGGCUCAACUGGGGAGGGUCACGCGAUACUGAUCGACUCGAAGGCAGGAGAGGGUAGUGGAAUUCCAGGUGUAGCGGUGAAAUGCGUAGAUAUCUGGAGGAACACCGGUGGCGAAGGCGGCAUCCUGGACCGGUAUUGACGCUGAGGCGCGAAAGCCAGGGGAGCAAACGGG
rnacentral:rRNA from 1 species